GCGAAAUACGAUACGGGACUCAUCCGAGGCCCCGUAAUCGGAAUGAGUACACUCUAAACCCUUUAACGAGGAUCAAUUGGAGGGCAAGUCUGGUGCCAGCAGCCGCGGUAAUUCCAGCUCCAAUAGCGUAUAUUAAAGUUGUUGCGGUUAAAAAGCUCGUAGUCGAAUUUGUGUCCCGCGCCGCCGGUUCAUCGCUCGCGGUGUUAACUGGCGUGUCCGCGGGACGUCCUGCCGGUGGGUUUAGCCUCUUCGUGGGGCGGCCCAAUCACAAUCCCGCCGCGGUGCUCUUAAUUGAGUGUCGAGGUGGGCCGGCACGUUUACUUUGAACAAAUUAGAGUGCUUAAAGCAGGCUCAAACCUCGCCUGAAUACUGUGUGCAUGGAAUAAUGGAAUAGGACCUCGGUUCUAUUUUGUUGGUUUUCGGAACCCGAGGUAAUGAUUAAUAGGAACGGAUGGGGGCAUUCGUAUUGCGACGUUAGAGGUGAAAUUCUUGGAUCGUCGCAAGACGGACAGAAGCGAAAGCAUUUGCCAAAAACGCUUUCAUUGAUCAAGAACGAAAGUUAGAGGUUCGAAGGCGAUCAGAUACCGCCCUAGUUCUAACCAUAAACGAUGCCAGCUAGCGAUCCGCCGACGUUCCUCCGAUGACUCGGCGGGCAGCUUCCGGGAAACCAAAGCUUUUGGGUUCCGGGGGAAGUAUGGUUGCAAAGCUGAAACUUAAAGGAAUUGACGGAAGGGCACCACCAGGAGUGGAGCCUGCGGCUUAA
rnacentral:rRNA from 1 species